UACGAAGGGGGCUAGCGUUGUUCGGAAUUACUGGGCGUAAAGCGCGUGUAGGCGGGUCUUUAAGUCAGGGGUGAAAUGCCAGGGCUCAACCUUGGAACUGCCUUCGAAACUGGCGAUCUUGAGUCCGGGAGAGGUGAGUGGAACUGCGAGUGUAGAGGUGAAAUUCGUAGAUAUUCGCAAGAACACCAGUGGCGAAGGCGGCUCACUGGCCCGGUACUGACGCUGAGGUGCGAAAGCGUGGGGAGCAAACAGG
rnacentral:rRNA from 1 species